rnacentral:rRNA from 1 species
CCUACGGGAGGCAGCAGUGAGGAAUAUUGGUCAAUGGGCGCUAGCCUGAACCAGCCAAGUAGCGUGAGGGAAGACGGUCCUAUGGAUUGUAAACCUCUUUUGUCGGGGAGUAAAAUACGCCACGCGUGGCGUUCCGAGAGUACCCGAUGAAUAAGCAUCGGCUACCUCCGUGCCACCAGCCGCGGUAAUACGGAGGAUCCGAGCGUUAUCCGGAUUUAUUGGGUUUAAAGGGCGCGUAGGGGGAAGGUAAAGUAAGCGGUAAAAUUGUGCGGCUAAACCUUAUCUAGCCGUUGAAACUGGUUUUCUUGAGUGAGUGAGAGGUAUGCGGAAUGCGUGGUGUAGCGGUGAAAUGCAUAGAUAUCACGCAGAACUCCGAUUGCGAAGGCAGCAUACCGGAGCUCAACUGACGCUCAUGCACGAAAGUGUGGGUAUCGAACAGGAUUAGAUACCCCAGUAGUC